CCCCCGCAGUCGCGCGCCCCGUGCGGACCCAGCCAGGAUGCCGGGCGGGGCGGGGGCGGGGGCGGGGGCUCGCGGGCCCAGGGCGGCCUGGCGGGACCUUUGCUCGUCCCCGCCCCCGGAGCCCGGGGCGCGCGGGAGCCGGGGCAGCGGGCGCGCGCGGCGGGAGGGGGCGCUGUGCGGGGCGCGGGGAGGCCGGCGCGCGCCGGGCCAGGAGCCGGGCUGCAGCCGAGGUGGGGCCGGGGCUGGGCGGCUGCGUCCCGAGACCCGCGCCAAGGCCCGGAGAGAGCUGGGUCCCUUUCUUCAGGGUCUGCCCAGCGGGUCCUGGGCGCCCUAGGCCUCACCUGCCGCCCGCUGCGCCUGCAAGUGGCCGCACCCCCGCCGCCGAUCGCCGCGUGCACUGGCUCUGUGGCUUCACGUGCCCGGGGGUGUCCGGAUUUGUGGUGUGACCGAGCCUACACUCGGUCCUGACGCUUAUGAAUAAUUCAUGUGACUACUAGUUCCUCGAGGGCAGAAUCCAACAUCCCUCACAUGCCAGGUGCUCGGCGAGCGCCCAGGGAGUGAGUGCGUCUGGGCAUAGUCGGUGCCCACGUUGCUUGCUGAUGGGCUGACGAACAUCACCGGCUUUCCGUCACUGUUCCUGGGCACCUUCUCAGCGGUGCCCUCCGCCGGCCUGAGGACCGUGAGGAACGCAAGUCCUGCCCCGAGGACUUACACGCAGGAGGAUUGUUUCCUCGCCGCUCAGCUGGGCCAGGGGAGAGGCAGGGCUUCCCCGGGCCCAUAUGCUCUGCGUCUGGAUUACAGUUCCCGGCCUCCGGGCAUUUAUCUCAGCAAAGCCGUUCCUGACUACAGGUUGUAGGGUCUCACUCAUCGUUGCAGUGUCUGGCGCAAGCAGCCAGGUGGAGGUCUAAGUUGCAAUGAGUAAACUGAGGCACAAGCUGGGAAGCCCAUCCAGCCAGGAAGAGGCAAAGCCAAGAUUUAAACACAGAUCAUUUGACGCCCAUCAGCGCUUUUAGACCACCAGACGGUACGUUCUCUUCAGAACAGAAGAUAGGGAGCACCCUAGGAGUUACAUCACCGGGCAGUGUUUGAACACAUCUGUGUGUGCUGAGAGGGAGGGAUGAAUUGUGUAUAAGCAGAGCCCCUCUCCUCCCUCCCCCUCUCUACUUUUCUGUUUUAUUUUUAACAGUUGUGCUUAUUAUUAUGAAUUAAAAGCAUUUGAAGACAGAUGGACCAAUACACGUUGGGAAUUUUUAGCCCAACGAGAAAAAGAAGUGAAUAAAAAGAAAAUAUCAAACCCCAAUCAUCUCACUCCAUUGUAGAUAUAUCCCUUUAAGAAAAUGGGACUGUGUGGAAACAGAAUUUUACAGCGGAUAAACCUGGGUGGUCAUAGGGAUGAUAAAUCUUUGCUUUUAAAAAGAUUUAUUAUAUAAACUA